rnacentral:tRNA from 1 species
GGCUAUGUAGCUCAGCUGGUUAGAGCACGGCACUCAUAACGCCGGGGUCGGUAGUUCAAGUCUACCCAUAGCCACCA